rnacentral:tRNA from 1 species
UGGGUUGUGGCUUAGCGAUAGAGCGCUCGUCUAGCACAUGUGAGGCCCUGGGUUUGAUCCUCAGCACCACAU